CACGGGGGGAGCAAGCGUUGUUCGGAAUCACUGGGCGUAAAGGGCGUGUAGGCGGUCAAGUAAGUGGAAUGUGAAAUGCCCCGGCUCACCCGGGGACCUGCAUCCCAAACUGCUUGGCUUGAGUAUGGGAGAGGAUGAGGGAAUUCCUGGUGUAGCGGUGAAAUGCGUAGAUAUCGGGAGGAACACCUGUGGCGAAGGCGGCCCCCUGGUUGGAUACUGACGCUGAUACGCGAAAGCGUGGGGAGCAAACAGG
rnacentral:rRNA from 1 species